AUUGAACGCUGGCGGCAGGCCUAACACAUGCAAGUCGAGCGAGCGGCGGACGGGUGAGUGCUGUCUGGGAAACUGCCUGCUGGGGGGGGGUAACUCCUGGAAACGGUAUCUCAUACCGCAUACCCUCUGAUGUGCCCAGAUGGGAUUAGCUAGUGGGUGGGGUAACGGCUCACCUAGGCGACGAUCCCUAGCUGGUCUGAGAGGAUGACCAGCCACACUGGAACUGAGACACGGUCCAGACUCCUACGGGAGGCAGCAGUGGGGAAUAUUGCACAAUGGGCGCAAGCCUGAUGCAGCCAUGCCGCGUGUGUGAAGAAGGCCUUCGGGUUGUAAAGCACUUUCAGCGGGGAGGCGUUACCCGCAGAAGAAGCACCGGCUAACUCCGUGCCAGCAGCCGCGGUAAUUC
rnacentral:rRNA from 1 species